rnacentral:lncRNA from 1 species
GGGGUUCCUUCAUUUUAUGUUCACCAUAGUCCUGAUCAGAGCAAUAGAGGACACCUGAAGGCAUCAGCACCUGAAGGUACCAGCUUUGAGUAACUCAGUGUUUUGACUGGGAUGUGGGUCUUUAGGAUUUGAAUGUUUCAUCUUACUCUAAUUUAAUCAGCUACAACUAUUUUUUAAAAUGUCCCUCUAGUAUUGCAGCCAGAAAGAAGUACUCAUGGUGCUUUGUGACUUUUGCUCAUACUGAUGAACACAUGAACCAGAAACCUCAAGCAAGUGCAGAUCAAGCAGUGAAGUGCUGGACAGUGAAGCAGUGGAAAUGAAUGAGCUGUGACAGUGGCCUCAGUGGGAGAGUGUGGGUGUGUGUGAAAGAGCACAAGGCAGCAAUAUUUAAGAACUUCUGGUCUCCAGAAAUCUCAUCUAAAGUAGCUCACAAAAUACAGAAGAGAGGAAAUAAGGUUACAUUCUCCAAUAUGUGCAAAAGCUAUCUCCUAUGAGAGCACUAUGAUGGUAGACAACAUUAUGAUCUCUGAUGGGAUAAGUCAGCAGAAUGUGAACCUCACAUAAAUAUCAGAUUGCUGCAAAGAGAG